AACAGAGUCAAUAAAUCUGGGCCCUUUCUAACGAACUUGGGGAGUGAAUUUAAGUAUAGAGGACUCACUCCAAUUAACAGCUUGCCCCCAAAUUCCCUCCCACUAUUAGUCUAAGUGCUUCAACUGAUCAUACUUGUUGUGAUUGGACUGGAGAGGGGCAGAGUCCCUAAGUAGUGAAGACAAACCAUUUAGGAUCUCCUAGAUUAAAACCAGCCACUUUGGUUGCGCCUGUAAAUAAAACUAUGGAACAAUAGUGUCAUUUUCACUGUGAGAAAUGCCACUUAGUACCUGAAGUUUCCAAGUGAUCAGUAGAGCUCAUUGCAGUAAGAUACUGUGGAGGUGACAAAGGCAUUAAUAACUAUGACAAGGUCUGCAUUUGUGAAGAAAGAUUAUGAUGUCUUGCCAGGUUGAAAUACGUGCAGAAAAUGCAAGGUUUAAGCAGGUUAUAACCAGGCAAAGUGUUAAUUUUAAUCAAGAAGUGUGGUAGAAAACAUUGUCCUGAGUAUAAAUACCUGCAUUUCAAAAACCACCUCCCUCCUGCCCCCGAGUCUGUAGAGUAGUUCUACAAAUUGAUAUAAUGGGAAAGGAGAACAAGUAAUAACUAUGCACCAGAGUCCAAAGGGUAGCUGCUAAUGCAGUACACCAGUACCUGUAAGAAGCAGUAGAGUAGCCAGAGCUCAUAUAUGUCUUUUCUUUUUCUUGACCUCAUAUCUGUGUAAUAGGUGUGUGGUAGUACAUUUUUCACAUGUUACUUAAAAACCUGAUAGCUAUAUGUUUGGCUUCAUUAUCAUCUGGAAUUUUAGCAAUCUCUGCAGUGCUCCAUUUUAAUGCAUUGACAUUCUGAAGUCAGGGCAUCAUAACCUCUCCAUUAAAUAUUUGAUACAAUGAAGCAUCUUCUAAAUAAAGAAACUCUGAGCCAUCCAGUGUAGUUUAGGUAGUACUUUUAAAGAACAAAACUGGCAGAAGUGUUUUGUGUGUAUUCAGUGCUCGUUUUGUUUGUCUCUGACGAGAAAUAGACAUAGGCCCCAAUCCAGCAAAGCACAUGCUAAAGUUAAGCAGAUACUUCAGAGAUUUCAUUGACUUCAAUAGACUACUACACUUAAGUGCUUUGCUGGAUCACGGCCUGCAUUCUGUUGUAUGCAGGUCACUAAUGUUCUAUGCGUUGUUCCAAAGGAUUUUUUUUAAAUGGGCCUAUCUUGACAUUUUAGAACUGCAUAUUGGAAUCUGAGGAGGGGGGUGCUGGUCAGAAUUCAAAAAAUUAUAGCACACCAGUGUGGUUUUUUAAUUCAGACCUGCCAAAUGCAUAAGCAAAUGCUUUCUCAUUCUCUAGCUCCUGGGUACACAUUCUACUUUGCUGUUUCAAGGACAAAGGAAAUGCUUAUCCAACUAGAAGAAGCAUGAGAUUGUGACAGAACAGCUUUUCCCUUAAAUAAAAAAAGUUGGAAAAAGAAUUUUGACACUAAGUCAUUAAGUGCUAUUAAAAUAAUUAAUACACCAUAAAUCUAAGCAUACACAUAGGUCAUAUUACAAGUUGUGCUACUUUUGUCACUAAAGGUGCUAUGAGACUACACAUGAUUCUAGCUCUACACAAGUUACUUGGCCAAAUUGCAUUUUAAAGGCCUUACUUUAAAAAUGAGCUAUAUAUAAAAGUUUACGCCAAUUAAAUGUGAAGCCAGACUCUGCUAUAUUUGUAAAUGUGAUAUCUUUAUCAGAACUACUCUGAUUCCCCUACAGACUGAGCGUUAAUAGAGACGAGCAAGAUUCUUUCUUGUCUGACUAGUUCUGUGGAGAGCAUCAGCAAGAAGAAAUAGUUUGCCCAAAAUAUUUCUGAUUUUAUAUCCUAUCAAGGUCAUGGCUUUAUGGUCUAUGCAUUUCAAAUCUGAGACAUAGGCACCUUGGAACCACAGGCUCAAAUCCCUAAGAUAGUAUCCAUGUAGUUUUAUUACAGAGUCUUAGAAAAGUAAAGCUAGAAGGGACCUCAAGAGGUUAUGUAGUCGAUCCCCCGCUUGCGGAGGCAUGACUAAAUAUUCCUGAACCAUCCCUGACAGGUGUUUGCCUAACGUGUUCUUAAAAGCCUCCAGUGAUCGGGAUUCCACGACCUCCCUUGGUAACCUGUUCCAGUACUUAACUAUCCUUAACUAGUCAGAAAGAUUUUCUUAAUAUCGAACCUAAAUCUCCCUUGCUGCAGAUUAAUAUGAUUGCUUAUUGUCCUACCUUCAGUGUGUUAACCAGGAACUCAGAUCUCUCCUAUGAUUAACUGGAUGUGCUCUAGGUUCCACACCUCAGAGUCCCUACCCAUUAGACUUGUUCUCCCAAACCUCAUCUAUCAACGGAGAGAAAACUAAGGUCAGGAUUAACUAUAAAGGAAACUGCUUUAUUUAUCAGUGACUCAAACAGGAAACAGUGACUUAUAGGACCCCCAGCAUACGGGUAUAGGUUGGCACAACAAAUUGACAUAAAGUAAAGAUCCCAAACCCAUAAGGACAAAGGAGAAUUUGCUACAGGUAAGGUACAGAGGUACACAGCAUACUACACCAGGUUCAGAGAAAUGGACCCAUGACAGAGGACAUCACAGAUGGACUACAUUAGGACACCAAGGUGAAGACACAAGAGUUCCGGAUAUAGGUAAGAUAGGAAUCAAUCAAGAACUGAUAGCUGGAACUCUGGAGUUUUGGAUCUUCUUCUGUGGUCUUCGGUAGAACCCUCGAAGUCUUGGCUAGGACAUGUACUGCGCUGCCACCAGGAAGGACAGCCUUUCCACUUGGGUGCAGCAGUCUUUUAUGCUCUCCUGUUACUAGGCAGAACACAGGCCAUGUGACCCUUGCUCUUUCCUGCCUUAGAGAGAAAAAGGCAUCAAUUGUCUCAAGAAGAAGGUCACCAACAUGAUAGACAAAUAACUCCUUGCAAAUAAAAUGGCUAAGUGCCUAAACAAAAUGGAACUUGCAGUUUUUCCCCUACAAGUGGACCUGGAGGACAGUUGAUCACCAUCACCUUUAUAACAUCCCUUAUCAUAUCUGAAGACUGUUAUCAGGUCUCCAAGCAGUUUUCUUUUCUCAAGACUAAACAUACCCCAUUUUUGUAACCUUUCCUCAUAAAUUAGGUUUUUCUAGCCUUAGGCCAUUUGCUCUCCUCUGGACUCUCUCGAGUGUGUCCACAUCCUUCUUAAAGUAUGGUGCCCAAAAUGAGACAAUACCCCAGCUGAGGCCUCAUCGAUGAGUAGAGUGAGACAAUUCCCUCCCAUGUCUUUACAUAUGAGACUUUUGUUAAUACAACCCAGAAUAUUAGUCUUUUUUGCAACUGCAUUCAUUGUUGGCUCCUAUUCAAUUUAUAAUCCACUAUAACACCUAGAUCCUUUUCUGGCUAGCCAGUUAUUCCUCAUUUUGUAAUUGUAUGUUUGAUUUUUCCUUCCUCAGUGUAGUAUAAUUUCCACUUAUCUUUUCUGAAUUUCAUCUUGUUGAUUUCAGACCAACUCUCCAAUUUAUCAAGGUCUUUUUGAAUUCUAGCUCUGUCCUCCAUAGUACUAGCAAUCCUUCCCAGUUUGGUGUCAUCUACAAAUUUUAUAAGCCUAUGCACCAUUCCAAUAUACAAUUCAUUAAUGAAAAUGUUGACUAGUACCAGAUUAAGGACAGAGCCCUGCAGGACCCCACUAGAUAUGUCCUCCCAGUUUGACAGCAAACCAUUGAUGAUUACUCUUUGAGUAUGUUUUUUCAACUAGUUGUGAGCCUACUUUAUAGUAAUUUCAUCUAGAUCUCAUUAGCUUACUAAUGAGAAUAUCAUGUAGUACAGUGUCAAAAGCUUUACUCAAGAUAAAUCACAUGUACUGCUUCCUGCCUAUCCACUAGGCCAGUAACCCUGUCAAAGGAGGAAAUUAGGCUGGAUUGGCAUGAUUUGUUAUUGACAAACCCAUGCUGGCUCUUCUUUAUGACCCUAUUAUCCUAUAUCUGCUUACAAACUGUAUAAUAAUUUGUUCCAGUAUCAUUCCAGGGAUUUAAGCUAAGCUGACUGAUUCCAAAUGCCCCAUGUCCUCUUAGUUCCUCUUUUUGAAGACAUAUUAUGUUUACCCUUCUCCAGUCUUCUGUGACCUCACCUGUCGUCCAUGAGUUCUUGAAGAUAAUCACUAAUGGUUCCAAGGUUGCUUCAAGUUCUUUAAGUACCCUGCUGAAUUGAAUACUUCUAACUUAUCUAAAUAUUUUCUAACCUGUUCUUUCCUAUUCUGGCUUGUGUUCCUUCCCCCUUGUUAAUAUUAAUUGUGUUAUGCAGCCAGUCACAAUUAAAUUUUUGAGUCAAGACUGAAGCAAAAUAGGUAUUAAAUAGCUCUGCUUUCUUUGUGUCAUGUGUUACUACUCCUUUUCCCUGCUAAGGAGCAGACUUAACACUUUCCUUAAGGAUCUUUCAGCUGAUUCUGUAAACAAAAAAUCUCCUCUGUGUGGACAAUAAAGAUUCUGUGGCUGUUUUUUUAUUAGAAGAGGGUAGUUCUUCUCACAGUUGUUCUGGGUAAGUUCAUUGCCACAGUUAUGAGUGAGGCCUAAAAAAAUCAGGAGAUUGGCUUAAAAUUCAUGCAGUUUUGAAAAAUAAUAAAUUCCGAGGUCUUGUUCUUUGCCUUCUGGGUUCUGAGCCUUCAGAGUGCACUUGGGUCAUGUUUUCAAGCUUUUCUCUGAAAUCAUAAGGGCUAAAAUUUUACUUGUUCCUUCAAGUGAAAGCUGGGAGUGUCAUGUAAUCACAUGACUCCAGAAACUGGAACUUUAAGAAGGACACUGUGUCAUGAGACUCAAAAUUAUGAGAGUUUGCACCACUGGCAAGCCUCCCACCAGAAGAUUUUGGGAGCACAUGGCACCCAGCAACACCAUGUUGUAGCACCUUUCAUAGGUGCCCCUAUUGAGGGCAACAGUUCUAGACCUGGAGAGUUGUUUUAUGGGGCUGGGGGUUGACUGGCUGUUUGGGGAGGUGUGGGAAAAAGGAGAGGGAAUAACUGAAUAGAGAGUUAGGUGAUGAAUUGGCAAUUGCCCAGCCCAGUCCUGAGGAACAUCAGAGGGCAUGGUCCGUAGUGGAUUAAUGGGCUUUUGGUCCUCUAGUACCCUCGUGUGCAGAGAUGCAAUCUGGGCUGGCAACGGAGAGUGGGUAUCAUGGCCUCCUGCUCUUGACCCCUGCCUGCUAUUGGCCAAUACAUGUUUUGGAUGUUUUCAAGCUUUGGUCCAUUGCCUUUUAAUCAUUUAUUGUGGCUGUAUACAUGAAUCAUGCUGCUGUCCUAUUCUUUUUUAUUUGUAUCAGAUAACAUCCCCGUGCCCACAUGAUUUCAACCCUGAUACUACACUUCCCCAAUUAGCUCUGAAUGAAAUCCACACCGCUCUGCCUUCCCUAGUCCUCCUCAGCUGGGAGGUGGGGGGGGGGAGAGGGAGAGUCUACCCCUUGCUGGCUGCUAAAUCUCUUCAAGAAAAUUGGACUCUUCUCCAAAAAAUUCAAAACUGUGUUUGAUGAUGCUAUGCACUAUUGCAUGGCAGAGAGCCAGAGUUUCACAAGCAGCCUGCAAACUCUUAAUCAUAGGCCAGCAGUGGCAGUGACUAUCCACUAAGACAAUGUUCCUUCCCACAAGAGGAACUGCCAUCUAUGUGCAUGCAAUUCACCAGUAACCACUAAGGAAUCUGGGCGAGGGCCUGCUACUAAAAAGCAGUGAGUGAGGUGGAGUUACAGAGCUAAGCAACCACUCUCACCAUUCACAUCCUUCCUAAAAACUCACUUCCCCUGUGCUGCCUUCACAAAUUGUGUUAAGAAAGAAAACGCUCAAACCCAGAGCUAUCCAGGAGUAACUGAGUAAGCGGAGGAAGGAUGGUCCAGCAGUUCUGGCACUAGCCCAGGACGUGGAGAACUGGCUUCAUGUCCCUGCUCUUCCACAAACUUCCUGCGUGACACUGGGCAAGCCACUUAGCUUCUCUGUGCCUCAGUUCCCAGUUGUAAAUUGGGAACGAGACUCCUGUGAAGGUUAAAGCUUGAGUGUGCUCAGUCAUUUGAGUACCUAAGAUAGAUUUAACCACAUUAUCUUGUUGUUGUAACUCUUGCCACCUCCCCCCACCCUUUUGUUUGUUCCUAUAUGUUGUCUUACAUCUACAAGUGAGACUGGAAUUCCUUUGAGACAGGGCUGUGCCUGGUACCUUGUGCCUUGGAAUAUUUGGGGCACUCUAUAAAAAAAAAGUCAUAGCAGAUCAUCUUAACUCCUUGAUUGAGCAAAGUGAAAGCCUUCUUGGUGUAGACUUGGAGAACGAAGGCAAGUGAGGACUGCUGUUAAUGUUAUUAUUGCUUACUUCCUUAUAUAAAUAACUGCCAUGUGGAUAGAUGAGGUGUUGCUCAAUCUCACAGUUCUUUGUUCCCCAGAGAAUUUUAGUGAGUUAUAAAUCUUCUUAGCUGUUGACACUGAAAAAGCCUUUGGUGGUGGUAGUGGCAUAUUUCUAGAAGGUAGAGAGGGUUUGGGAAUGUUUUUCCCUGUCUCUGAUUAGUUCUUUAACAGUUACCAUGGUGCAAUUUGCUCCAUACACAUGCAACAGCUGUACUUUUCAUCCUGCCAUAUAGCAGCUCUGCUCCUUGAUGCAUAAACCAUGCAGCAGAUUCAUUGGUUCAGGAGGUUAAAAGUUAUUAACUGAAAAUCAAUUGAAAUAAAAGAGUCACAUCUGCUGCAGAAACACAAUUCGCUCCCCCUGACAGACUGCCCCUGCACUGCAGGAAAACAAACUGCAACAUUUGGGGAGAACAGAGAUAGCUGCAAAACUAUAACAACAGAGAGUGAGGCCGGAUCUAAUUAAAUAUUAAAGCUUUUGAGACAAAAUGUCCAGUGACAAAUAGUUCAACAUGAAGCAAACAAACAGUUCAGUUGUUCACAUGACUGUCCUCUGAGAUCAGGUUGCUAGGCAUUGCAGUGCAGCAGCUACAGGACAGACUGUACUUCUCAGAAGUAUUUUUGUAAUAAAAGUUUCUAGCGCUUACACAGCCAAACUGGCCAAGAGGGUAAGCUUUGGAAGUGUUCUUCUUCUGUUAGUUUCUUUCGGGGGGAAAAAAAUCCCUAGCAAUAUACAAUAAAAGAAAAAUAAUGAGAAACUAAUUAAUCAUGUUGCCUUUCUAUAUUUCAAUACAAAAGACCUUGUUCUCUCUGAAAGCUGUCGGAACAGCGUGCACUUACUGCAUUACGUAAGAAGUAUCCUUGGGGGGAAAAUCUGUUAUAAAGUAAUUUAAUUCUGGUUGACUCUCUGGGUAAAAACCUUUAUUGUCUAGAGAAUUAUUAAAAAUGUGUAACAUGGACAAUUUGACAGAGUAUUAGAUUUAUUAAGAACUUUAAAAGUCUUUCCUUAAUACACAAACUGCUUUCCAUAGGGCAGUUAUAAAGGCAGCUUGCAAGUUAUUCACAGUCCACUAGAUGGCAGCAGAUUAACUCUUUGAAUGCCAGAACAUGCUAUAUUUACUAAAAAGGACAUUCUGAGUGGCAUAAAUAGGUGUUGGACUGUAGACACAUUUUAUUUAUUGUAUUUAUCAUUUGUGUUAUCAUAGUGUCUAAAAGUCCUAGCCAUGGACCAGGACCCAUUGUUUCUGCUUAUAAAGGGAAAGUUUAUAAGCUUUUAUAAGAAAGUUUAUAAGGCACUCCCACUGGGGGAGGGUUAGCUCAGUGGUUUGAGCGGUUUGGCCUGCUAAACCCCGGGGUUGUGAGUUCAAUCCUGGAUGGGGCAAAAAUUGGGGAUUGGUCCUGCUUUGAGCAGGGGGUUGGACUAGAUGACCUCCUGAGGUCCCUUCCAACCCUGGUAUUCUAUGAUUCUAUGGAAGUAAUUAGUAGUUCCGGGUGCUUAAUCUGAGAUACCUUAAAGGGGCCUGAUUUUCAGAGGGUGGGUGACUCAUACUGAGCACCCAAAGAAUCACUAGUCACUUUUGAAAAUAUGAGCCAAAUAUGAUUCCCCUUUGCAAUUUCUUAUACAUUACAUUAUAGUGCAUCACAAACUGAAUAUGCAUCAAUAAUGUGAUGCAACUGCAAAAAAAGGCUAACGAGGUGCUGGGGUGUAUUAACAGGAAUGUCACAAGUAAGUGUCCCGCUCUCCUCGACACUAAUCAGGCUUCAGCAGGAAUAUUGUGUCUAGUUCUGGGUGCCACACUUUAAAAAAGAUUUGGGCAAAUUGGAGAGAGUCCAGAGGAAAGCAACAAAAAAAAAUGUUUAAAAAACCUGACCUAUGAGGAAAGGUUAAAAAAAACUGGGCAUAUUUUGUUUUGAGGAAAGAAGACUGAGGAGAGACCCGAUAACAAGUCUUCAAAUAUUUCCAGGGCUGCUGUAAAGAGGACGGUGAUCAAUUGUUCUCCAUGUCCACUGAAGGAUCACCAACUGUUUUGGAAACUACAGCAAGUAUACAGUAUAUAUAUACAGAAUCACUUCCUCCACCACUGAAAAAAGUCACUUCUGGAAUGGAAUAUGGCAAUUCUUGAAAAGUACAGAGCAACAACUAAUAAGGAAUUAGGGGGAAAAACCCCAAAUCAUGGGGCCAGAUCCUCAGCUGAAGUAAAUCAUCUUAAUUCCAUUGACUUCAUUGGAUCUAUGCUUAUUUAUACCAGCUGGAGAACCGCCACUGUAACCAAUUUAUAUUGCAGAUGGAAUUGAGACAGACGGAAUGUGAACACCUGAGAUGAAGUUUGGCCAAGAUGUCAAGGCUAACACAUACCAGGGGUAUGGAUAGUUAAUAAAUUUGACCUUUAAUUAAAGGGAUCUCUACAAACCAGAAUUGAUCAGGACCUCAGGAUUUACAUCUCAUCUGAAAGACAGCAUCUCAUUGCCCUUAAGACCAUGCUGAGGCAUUGGCUCAAUACUAACUCAGAAAAAAGACUGCCCGUGAGUCAAUUCCUAAUCUCUCUUGAACCUGGUUUUCCUUUUAGGCUUCCUCUCCAAGCAUAGGUUUCAGAGUAGCAGCCGCGUUAGUCUGUAUUCGCAAAAAGAAAAGGAGUACUUGUGGCACCUUAGAGACUAACAAAUUUAUUUGAGCAUAAGGUUU